rnacentral:rRNA from 1 species
GUUGCUUCGGCGGGUGGCGGGCUUCGGCCCUGCCCUCGGCCCCUCUCGGGGGCCCGCCGGAGGUACACCAAACUCUUGAAUUUACAUGGCCUCUCUGAGUCUUCUGUACUGAAUAAGUCAAAACUUUCAACAACGGAUCUCUUGGUUCUGGCAUCGAUGAAGAACGCAGCGAAAUGCGAUAAGUAAUGUGAAUUGCAGAAUUCAGUGAAUCAUCGAAUCUUUGAACGCACAUUGCGCCCGCCAGUAUUCUGGCGGGCAUGCCUGUCCGAGCGUCAUUUCAACCAUCAAGCCCCCGGCUUGUGUUGGGGACCUGCGGCACACCCGCAGGCCCUGAAAACCAGUGGCGGGCUCGCUGUCCACACCGAGCGUAGUAGCAUAUCUUUGUCUCGCUCAGGGCGUGCGGCGGGUUCCGGCCGUGAAACCCACCUUCUCGAAGGUACCCAAAGGUUGACCUCGGAUCAGGUAGGAAGACCCGCUGAACUUAAGCAUAUCAAA